UACGGAGGGGGCUAGCGUUGUUCGGAAUUACUGGGCGUAAAGCGCACGUAGGCGGCUUUGCAAGUUAGAGGUGAAAGCCCGGGGCUCAACUCCGGAAUUGCCUUUAAAACUGCAUCGCUAGAAUUGUGGAGAGGUAAGUGGAAUUCCGAGUGUAGAGGUGAAAUUCGUAGAUAUUGGGAAGAACACCAGUGGCGAAGGCGGCUCACUGGCCCAUUACUGACGCUGAGGCACGAAAGCGUGGGGAGCAAACAGG
rnacentral:rRNA from 1 species